GUUUAUUCAUAGGCCUUAAUGCUAUUUGACUUCCAAGAAGAACUGAAAUAAAUUAUGUUCAGAGCUCCUUAGAAGAAAUACCCUUACAGGUUGAAAGUGUCGUUACCUCCACAGGGACUUCCUAGUUGCCCUCUGCAGGAGAUCAUAAGACAUCCCAGGAAAUGGAAGAGCAGUUUUGCUGAGUAAAUGUGAAACAGGCUUCGGGAUGGAGAGAAAAAUCAGCUGUUCAGCUCCCUCUCUGCUCUCCAGUGAAAGCCCUGAGACUGGAAAUCUCUACGAUUCUUCUCCAGUGCUUUUCAAGUUUUAAUCGAAGAACAUCUUUGUGAUCAGAUUAACCAAAUAUUGACCCCCAAAAGGAAGCUAAGACUCAGAGAAGAUCGGUAGAGACCUUUCAAGCCUCUAAUAUGCUGCUGCCUCUUAGCUGUUGGAAUCAGAGCAUACUUGUUGCAAGUGGCUACGGUCAGUCUAAUCACCAGUAUCUUCUUCAUGGAUGUACUGCUAUAUACAACUUAAUUCUUAUUUUAGAUUUACAAAGGGAAGGGUAUCUGGGAUGCAUCUAUAGGUCCCGAGGUGGUCAGGAAGCACAUAGCAGCUACAAUAGUUAA
rnacentral:lncRNA from 1 species